CUACUGCGCCCUGGUGCCCACAGUGACAGGAACUCAGACUCUGCUGUGCAAAAACCUCUCAGAUGUGCAGGAGGAGGGAGAUUCAACAUGUCCCCUUCACAGACAGAGAAUCUGUUGGGAAUACCAUAACACCCUCGCAUUCUUCACUGAUCGUCAUCGAGGAAGAAGCUGUUACUUUCUCCUGUAACUACAGUGGUAGUGUCAAUAGUUUGCAGUGGUAUCGUCAGUAUCCCAACUCCAUCCCAGAGUUCCUCUACUACAUAUAUGAGGCUGGUACCACUUCAGGCUCAGUUCCCCGUCUGACUCCCUCCAUAAAGACAGAGGAAAAGUGCAUGUUUCUGGAGCUCUCCUCUGCAGAGGCGUCUGACUCUGCUGUGUACUACUGCGCCCUGAUGCCCACAGUGACAGGAACUCUGACUCUGCUGUACAAAAACCUCUCAGAUGUGCAGGAGGAGGGAGAUUCAACAUGUCCCCUUCACAGACAGUACAUCCAUUUAUACACUCUGACUAUUAAUCCAGUCUGCUGA